GUUAGCAAGGGGGUGGAGCAAAGCUUUUAACCUUGGUAGUCUAAAUUUGGAGCCCAUACUCCUAACUACAGGUCUCAUACUCACCAUUAUGGAGUUGUUGGAAAACCGCACUUUGGAGGAAGUACCUCUCUGUAUGUGAAUAUUCGAGAUUGAAGAUGUCCUGGAUAGUGUUAUAUAUAUGAGCCUAUGUUUUCAGACUUUAUGAACACCUUGAAAUGAGAUAGAAAGUCAUUUGGAGGGACAACUGAAUGACACACUUCUGUUCACAGGUAACCAGGACCACAAGGAACCACAACAGGGAGGAUUACAGGAUUGUGUUAUCACCUGGAAAAUCUUGAGAUAGGAAAGUACAUUUUCCAGGUUCCUUCUUCCUCUGGCUUCCAGACAGGUUCAGCCAAUGGAAAACACUGGUGGAAAAUUGAAGUACAGGAGGAAACAAGAAGUAAGGGAAGAAGUCACCACACAUCCCAGCUGGAGGAGGGAACAUGACUGGCUCACUUCAGCACCCUCACCAUUGUUCCAGAUAUCCAAGGCCCUCCUUGGACCUCAACAAGACUUAAGCCGCUGCAGAGACGGUGUAAAUGUGGAGUGGCUGGUUGGGGACAGAGUGAAACUCCUGGAAUCAGAUGGUGAUCUGCUGAUAAGCUGGGUCUGUGCCAGCCAGCAGAGUCCAUGCGUGCAAGAGCCUGGAGUCUCCCCCUGUGAAGGCUUGGGGCUGGUUGGGCAGUAAGCCUCACAGUAAUCCUUAGUCCUGUUAGAUGGGAGUUCUAAAUUUAUUUUCAAAGAAUUAAUAUGUCAGUAUGUUCAAUUCUUUGCCUUCUACUUUUAAACUUAACUUCCUCAUAAAGCAACCUUUUUCCAUUACCUACCCCACCCUAACUCAUUCUGAUCACCUGCUCCACCCUAACUCAUUCUGACCACCUGCUCCACUCUAACUCAUUAGGAUUACCUGCUACCUGCUCUGCCCUGACUCCCGCCAAAGCUCUCAUCCCAUCAUUCUCUUUCAAUUAGCCAAUCGGAAUUAGUUUAGCCUGUGUGGUCUAACCCUAGCUAACAGGAGAAUGACACAGCGGCUGCAGCCAAGUUCGUCAGGGAUAAGAACCCCUUCCCCUCCCUUGUCCACCUGGGCGCUCACCAUUGUUCCAUCUGUAAGGGCGCACCGUUCUAUAUAGAAGUAACUUGCCUUGCUGAGAAUUAAAAAGAAAAUUUUAUAUUCGAGUGCUAUUUCUUUUGCGGCACCAAAACUUUAUGUGUAAUAGUCCAC
rnacentral:lncRNA from 10 species